ensembl:lncRNA
GGAGGAGGGAGGGCUGAGCGACAGGGAGGGGGGGCACGCGGACACGUCGCCAGCACUUCCGGUUGCCAUCCUCUCUUCCAUUACCUCCCACCCUCCACCCCGGAUGCCGACAAAUGGGCUCCUGGCCUCCACCUCCAGGGACGUCAGCCUCCUAAGGGGACGUGACUGGGGGCCCGACCGACGCGAGAGUUUCCCGGCAUGGGCCAAGCGGGCCACCGUUCUUCUCCUAGGAGAAACUCCCUCAGGGUGGCACCUUUCCCCUCACCCCGGAGGGCCGGGACCGGAGGGCCGGGGGGAAGAGCCAGGGUUCCCAAUCCCCGCCCACGGCUCGGCGCGGAGUGGGAGCGGAUUAAGCGCCGGUGGCGGGAAUGAAUGAAAGGGGGCGGGCACGCGGGCCUCGGAGCAUCCGGUCCCCGCCAGAGCGAGAGCGUCGAUUGGUACCUUCUGAUGGCCGCCCAAUCAGAGAGGUCCAGCGCGGCGGAAACGCGUGGCUAGGAGGGGAAGGGAGAGAGGGAGGCUCCGCCGCCGCGUUGCCCAGGCAACAGGUUCCGCCUUCCCUCGGACCCCCUUUUCCUCCCGAGGGGCGGGGCGGAGUCAGUUUCCCCAGAGGAGGCUGGAGGGUUACAAGGUACCGGGUUCUCCUGGAUCCUCCCGGGCGCCUUCCUGAGCCGGCCUCUCCCCGCCCUUCACAGCUCCUGCUCCUCGUGAGGCCGCUGAUGGCCCCGAAGUCACGGGAGCGAGGCUCCCCUGGGCCCGGCCGACCUUGGCCAAGGCGCUUCGGCGCUUUCGGGUCUGGCCGAAGUGAGGCCGCGGGCACUUAUGCAGCACCACCUGUGUCCCCGAGGCUGCCCUAGGGCCCCGAGGCCAAGCAGAGGGGCAAAAAUCCGCCUCGGGAGAAAAGGUGCAACAUCCUCUGCCUCAGGUUCUCCCUCCGGCCCCGUUCUAGGCUCCCUCCCAGCUCUGACGUCCCCAGUUCUAGGCUCCCUCCCAGCUCCGACGUCCCCAGUUCUAGGCUCCCUCCCAGCUCUGCUGCCCCCAGUUCUAGGCUCCCUCCCAGCUCUGACGUCCCCAGUUCUAGGCUCCCUCCCAGAUCUGCUGCCCCCAGUUCUAGGCUCCCUCCCAGCUCUGCUGCCCCCUGUUCUAGGCUCCCUCCCAGCUCUGACACCCCCUGUUCUAGGCUCCCUCCCAGCCCCGACGUCCCCAGUUCUAGGCUCCCUCCCAGCCCUGACGUCCCCUGCUCUCUCUCCUCUGGGCAUUGAUGAUCCGCCGUUUAAGAUCCUUCUGCACCUCACAAGCGGUCUCACCUCUGACACUCCCGCUGUUGUCCCUGGUCAUUAAGAAACUAAGUGUCUCCUAGGGGCCAGGCAUUGUUCCAGCCUCUGCAUAACUACAUCCACGGCCUUGCUGCCUGGGCCGAGAAUCAGAAGGACCCGAGUUCAAAUUUGACCUCAAAUCUAAGCCGUGUGACCCGGAGCAAGACAUCUCCACCUGGCUGCCUCGGUUUCCUCUUCUGGUAAAAUGACCUAGAGAAGGAAAUGGCAAACCUCCUCCAGUAUCCAAACCUAAUUAAAAACUCCUGUCCCGGAGUGCCCAAGAGUUAGACAAGACUGAACACCUCCACUUAGGCUUCCCCGAGCACGCUACAGAUGUCACUCCAUUUGCUCUCACAACUGUCCAGCCAGGAAAAGCUAUUAUUAUCGCAUUCCACAAGAGGAGGAAAUUGUGGUUAAAUGACUUGCUCAGGGUCAUGGGGCUAGUAACCCGCUGAAGCAAAAAUAGAGCUUAGGUUUUCUGGAUUCUGAGUUCAAUGGUUUAUCUCACCAGCCUCCUUACGAGAAAGACUGUCCCUAAGGGACACAAUGUGUUCGCAGAUCAGGAAACCCGGAAUAUCCAAAAUAAAUGCAAAAUGCUUUUUUUGAAGAGGGAAGUCACUAGCCUUGGGGGGAAUCGGGAAAGGCUGCCAGAAGAAGUUGGCAUCUGAACUGAGUCUUAAGGCAGGACUUUUUAACCUUUCUCUGUCCUGGACCCCUCUGGCAGAUUUUAAAAAUUAAUGGGAUUUUUAUUUUUUUUUUAAUUUUCUUUGUAUCCCCAGCACGGUUCACCAUCGGCUGUAUGCAGUGGUGCUUAAUAUAUACUAGUUGACUAACAAAAUGCAUGGGAUUACAAAGGAAACCCUAAAAUGCUCGCUUGGCUUUAGGAAAAACCAGGUCUGAAUCCCCUCUGACACUCACUUUCUUUGUAAUUCCUGGUGGAGUAAAUCCCUUCUCGUGGGCCUUUGGCAACUCCUUAGGACUUAGCUGUUAAAUCACAGACCCAUGUGGAUAGAAGGAAAUCCCCAAGCUAAAGGUGCCACUGAUCCCAUUAAGUGAUUUUAAUAGAUUAGAACUGCACUAAGACUUGUACAACAUGCUGGAGAGACAGAGGGAGAGAGAUGGAGAGGAGGGAGACAGAGGAGGAGGGAAAGAAAAAGGAGAGAGGAAGGGAAGGAAGGAGAAUAAUAGACAUAUAUAGAUACAUAUAAAUAGAUACGUAUUCUGUAUAUCUGUCUACAAAUCUAUCCCCAUAUGCCCCAGGUAUAUCUGUAGAUGAGACAAAGAGAGAGAUGGGAGGAAGAGAUGGGAGCAGGAGAGAGAGGGUGGGAAAAAGAGAGACAAAGAAAGAGAAUGUGUUUUUUCUCCUGUUAGAAUAGACAGAAUAACUUCUGGAGAAUAAAAACUGUCUUUGCUUUUGAAGGAGCAAAAGUGGAGUUCACAUCUCUCAGAAUGGCUAAGAUAACAGGAAAAGAUGAUCAAUGUUGGCAGGGAUGGUGGAUAAGUGGAACACUGAUGCAUUGUUGGUGGAACUGUAAAAUGAUGCAACCAUUCUGGAGAGCAGUUUAGAACUAUGCCCAAAGGGCUAUCAAACUGUGCAGACCCAGCAGUCUCUCUGAUGGGCCUGUAACCCACAGAGAUCAUCAAAGAGGGAAAAGGACCUAUGUGUGUAAAAAUGUUAGUAGCGGUCCUUUUUGUGGUGGCAAGGAACUGACAUGGAGUUGGGGAAUGGCUGAAUAAGUUAGGAUAUGUGAAAUGAUUGGAAGAUUAUUGUUCUAUAAGAAACGAUGAGCUGGCUGAUUUCAGAAAAGCUUGGAAAGACUUCCAUGAACCGAUGCUGAGUGAAGUGAGCAGAACCAGGAGAACAUUCAUUAUUCAACAAGAUUAUGUGAUGAUCAACUGCGACACACUUGGUUCUUUUAAACAAUGAGGUGCUUCAAGGCAAUUCCGAUAAACUUGGGAUGGAAUAUGG